CCCCUAGUAACUGCGAGUGAAGCGGGAAAAGCUCAAAUUUGAAAUCUGGCGUCUCCGGCGUCCGAGUUGUAUUCUGGAGAAGCGUUUUCCGUGCCGGACCGUGUACAAGUCCCUUGGAACAGGGCGUCAUAGAGGGUGAGAAUCCCGUCUCUGACACGGACCCCCGGUGCUCUGCGAUGCGCUCUCGAAGAGUCGAGUUGUUUGGGAAUGCAGCUCAAAAUGGGUGGUAAAUUCCAUCUAAAGCUAAAUAUUGGCGAGAGACCGAUAGCGAACAAGUACCGUGAGGGAAAGAUGAAAAGCACUUUGGAAAGAGAGUAAAACAGUACGUGAAAUUGUUGAAAGGGAAACGCUUGAAGUCAGUCGCGUCUGCCGGAACUCAGCCUUGCUUCUGCUUGGUGCACUUUCCGGUUCGACGGGCCAGCAUCGGUUUCGAGCGGCGGACACUGGCGAGGGGAAGGUGGCGGCUCCGGCCGUGUUAUAGCCCCACGUCGCGAACGCCGCCCGGGACCGAGGAAUCCGGCGCAAGCCUGGGAUGCUGGCGUAAUGGCUUUAAACGACCCGUCUUGAAACACGGACCAAGGAGUGCUACGUGCUCGCGAGUGUUUGGGUGGCAAACCCGGACGCGUAAUGAAAGUGAAAGUCGAUACCCCUCACGGGGGCACCGACGCCCGAGCCUGAUGUUUUCGGAAGGCCUUGCGGUAGAGCGAGUGCGUUGCGACCCGAAAGAUGGUGAACUAUUCCUGAGGAGGGCGAAGCCAGAGGAAACUCUGGUGGAGGCUCGUAGCGGUUCUGACGUGCAAAUCGAUCGCAGGACUUGGG
rnacentral:rRNA from 1 species